GUCCACGCCCUAACGAUGAUGACUAGUUGUUGGAGGAGUUAAAUCCUUUAGUAACGCAGCUAACGCGAGAAGUCAUCCGCCUGGGGAGUACGGUCGCAAGAUUAAACUCAAAGGAAUUGACGGGGCCCGCACAAGCGGUGGAUGAUGUGGUUUAAUUCGACGCAACGCGAAACCUUACCUACCCUUGACAUGUACGGAAUCCUGCAGAGAUGCAGGAGUGCCCGAAAGGGAGCCGUAACACAGGUGCUGCAUGGCUGUCGU
rnacentral:rRNA from 1 species